rnacentral:rRNA from 1 species
GGACGGGUGAGUAAUGCAUAGGAAUCUACCCAGUAGCGGGGGAUAGCUCGGGGAAACUCGAAUUAAUACCGCAUACGCCCUACGGGGGAAAGCAGGGGAUCUUCGGACCUUGCGUUAUUAGAGCGGCCGAUAUCUGAUUAGGUAGUUGGUAGGGUAAAGGCCUACCAAGCCGACGAUCAGUAGCUGGUCUGAGAGGACGACCAGCCACACUGGGACUGAGACACGGCCCAGACUCC